rnacentral:lncRNA from 1 species
GGACUUUUGGUAUAGCAUUGGAAAUGUAAAUGAGCUAAAUACCUAAUAAAAAAUGGAAAGAAAAAAAAAAGCACACUGCUAUAACCCAAUAUGACUGUAAUUAUCCACACACAAACUUUUUUUUUAACUCUUUUUUUUUUGCAUAUGUUGACAUUUUUCUUUAUGUGGUUCUAAUUCCAGGGUAAACAAAACUUUACAUUCUGGCUGCUUCUCUUUUAUUCAGCGUUAUAACUUGCACUACUAACAUUACUUUGAUAUUGUAGUUAAUGGAGUCUUUUACAUCAAAUGAUUGUGACAUUUAUAGAGACUCGGGGAAAGCCCAGCAGCAUGCAUUUGGCAUUCAUUGCCUUUUUCAGAAAAUACAAGGGCUAUCUGUAGUUUGUCUCAGAGAUCCUCAGCCGGCAUCUGAGAAAACCCUCUUUUAGGUUGGGUCCUGAGGCAUACCUGUUCUGCUCCAGACCGUCCAUCCGUCCAUCCGUCCGUUCAGGCCACUUGCAUAAGUGGAUUUCAAGUGUUUGGUGACCAUCUGGAUAACACUGUGCAUAAAUAAGCAAUGAUGUUCUUUGCUCUGUGGUGAAGAUGUCUCUGGUCAGCAUACUCUCACAAGAAGGUGUGAAUGGUUUGGGUGAAGGCUCCGGCAUGCACUUGCCAUAUGCCAGAGUAUGUCGCCACUGUAGGGCAUUGCCACCAAUGUGGUGUUGGGCUAACCCAGCAAAACUGGUCUGCACCUCAAGGGGAACUUGAGUUUCAGGAUAGGGAUCAAGAAUGCAGUGGGCAGUUGUGAGAUGGGGGAGUGUUUCCCAUCUGACAAAGUCUAAAGAAAGAGUAGGCCAGCUAGCUUCACUCUUCCCGAGCCCAGCCCUAGGGAAGGUGAUGGCCGAUCCCUUGUUAUGUUUUGUGUUUCUUCGGAGCAAGUCUGCUUGUUUUGUUUUGUUUUAAUUCAUAGCAUCUGCAUAAGUGGUUUUUUUUUUACAUACAAUAAAAUUCACCCAACUUAAGUAUUAUCUUAAAUGGAUGUUGGCAGUUACAUACAGUUGUAAAACUACCGUGACCCACAGAAUAUAAAACAGCCCCUCCCCCCUCUACUGGGUUUCCCCAGCUCAGUUCUGUCCCUGUGCUGAUCCAGGCAGCUGCUCUGACAGCAGAGAUCUGCUGUCUGUAGAGAUUUAUAUGGAUGGAAUUCCAUAGCAUGUUGUCCUGCCUUGGCUUCUUUCACACACUGUAGAGCUUCUGAGUUACACCUGUUUUGUCACGAGUUAGUUAUCUCGUGCCUGUUAAUUAACAUCCCAGAGGAGGGUGUGGUAAAUUUACCUAUUUAUGGCUUGGUGAUGGGAACUAGAUGUGCUGCCUGCAGUUUGGGAAUAGUAUAAAUAAUGGCACUGCAACCUUUGUGUACACAUCUUUCUGUAGACAUAGGUUCAUUUUCUCUUGUGCAAGCAUCUAGGAAUGGGAUUAGCUAGGUAAAUAACAUGUUGAACUUCACAAGAGCUUGUCAAUGUUUGUGUCUCUGUGUCAGUGCAGGAGACUUCUGGUUAUCAUGCACUUAAUUCUUGGUGCAUCCAAAUAGAUGGCAGCAACUCAGACCCUCUUAAAAUAGCACAUGGUCUCCUGGUCACCCUAAUUCCUGUUUGACUGCUGGCCUUCCUUGCCAUCAUGAUGAAAUUCCCUUACAUGAAGCAACUUAAGGGAGGGAAGAGUUAUCUGGGCUUGCAGUUUGAAAGGAUACGACCCAUCAUGAAGGAGCCAGUAGUGGUGUGAGGCAGCUGAGCACAUUGCAUCUAUGUUCAAGUAGCAGAGGACAAACAAUAAGUGAGCUGUCAGCCAUGACUUCAUGACCCACCCCCAGGGACCAGCUUCCUCCAAAGAGACCCCGCCUCUUAAACUCUCCACAGCUUUCCAAACAGACUCAUGAACCUACGGGAGACACUUCACAUUCAAACUAUAAGGCAGAUUCAUUCUGCUGGCAAGAGUACUGCCCACCUGUCAUUUGAAUGUACUUGACCUUAGCCACACAAGUUGUUAUCAGCCAUUUUACACCCCUGUCAUACACUGCAGGGAACUGUGGGCUGGGCCUGUGGGAUGAGAAGAUUGGAGUUGGAAUGGCUAUCUCUUGCCACUGAUGUACUGCCAGCAUAGACUGCUCUGCACCCAGUAUGUCCACCUGUAAAAUUCAAGGUUUUAGUCAAAUGAUAUAGA